UACGUAGGGUGCAAGCGUUGUCCGGAAUUAUUGGGCGUAAAGAGCUCGCAGGCGGUCUGUCGCGUCGGCUGUGAAAACCCGGGGCUCAGCCCCGGGCCUGCAGUCGAUACGGGCAGACUAGAGUUCGGUAGGGGAGUCUGGAAUUCCUGGUGUAGCGAUGAAAUGCGCAGAUAUCAGGAGGAACACCGGUGGCGAAGGCGGGACUCUGGGCCGAUACUGACGCUGAGGAGCGAAAGCGUGGGGAGCAAACAGG
rnacentral:rRNA from 1 species